CUGGCUCAGGAUGAACGCUGGCGGCGUGCUUAACACAUGCAAGUCGAACGAAGUUAAGUGAAACCUAGUGAUCUUAACUUAGUGGCGGACGGGUGAGUAACGCGUGGGUAACCUGCCGCAUGCAGGGGGACAACAGUUGGAAACGACUGCUAAUACCGCAUAAGCGCACGGGACCGCAUGGUCCAGUGUGAAAAGAUUUAUCGGCAUGCGAUGGACCCGUGUCCGAUUAGCCAGUUGGCGGGGUAACGGCCCACCAAAGCUACGAUCGGUAGCCGGCCUGAGAGGGUGAACGGCCACAUUGGGACUGAGACACGGCCCAAACUCCUACGGGAGGCAGCAGUGGGGAAUAUUGCACAAUGGGGGAAACCCUGAUGCAGCGACGCCGCGUGAGUGAUGAAGUAUUUCGGUACGUAAAGCUCUAUCAGCAGGAAAGAAAAUGACGGUACCUGACUAAGAAGCCCCGGCUAACUACGUGCCAGCCGCCGC
rnacentral:rRNA from 1 species